rnacentral:rRNA from 1 species
UACGUAGGGUGCGAGCGUUAAUCGGAAUUACUGGGCGUAAAGCGUGCGCAGGCGGUUCGUUAUGUCCGAUGUGAAAGCCCGAGCUCAACUUGGGAAUGGCAUUGGAAACUGGCGGGCUGGAGUGUGGCAGAGGGGGGUGGAAUUCCACGUGUAGCAGUGAAAUGCGUAGAGAUGAUGGGAGGAACACCGAUGGCGAAGGCAGCCCCUGGGCCAACACUGACGCUCAGGCACGAAAGCGUGGGAGCAAACAGG